GAUGAACGCUGGCGGCGUGCCUAAUACAUGCAAGUCGAGCGAACAGACGAGGGGCUUGCUCCUCUGACGUUAGCGGCGGACGGGUGAGUAACACGUGGAUAACCUACCUAUAAUACUGGGAUAACUUCGGGAAACCGGAGCUAAUACCGGAUAAUAUAUUGAACCGCAUGGUUCAAUAGUGAAAGACGGUUUUGCUGUCACUUAUAGAUGGAUCCGCGCCGCAUUAGCUAGUUGGUAAGGUAACGGCUUACCAAGGCAACGAUGCGUAGCCGACCUGAGAGGGUGAUCGGCCACACUGGAACUGAGACACGGUCCAGACUCCUACGGGAGGCAGCAGUAGGGAAUCUUCCGCAAUGGGCGAAAGCCUGACGGAGCAACGCCGCGUGAGUGAUGAAGGUCUUCGGAUCGUAAAACUCUGUUAUUAGGGAAGAACAAAUGUGUAAGUAACUAUGCACGUCUUGACGGUACCUAAUCAGAAAGCCACGGCUAACUACGUG
rnacentral:rRNA from 1 species